rnacentral:rRNA from 1 species
UACGUAGGGUGCAAGCGUUGUCCGGAAUCAUUGGGCGUAAAGAGCGCGUAGGCGGCCAGAUAAGUCCGGUGUGAAAGUCACAGGCUCAACCUGUGAAUGCCGCUGGAAACUGUCUGGCUAGAGUCCGGAAGGGGAGAGUGGAAUUCCUGGUGUAGCGGUGAAAUGCGCAGAUAUCGGGAGGAACAUCAGUGGCGAAGGCGGCCUUCUGGUCCAGUGCGUGACACUCAAGUGCGAAAGCGUGGGGAGCAAACAGG